rnacentral:ribozyme from 1 species
CGCAGAGGACAGCGCUACAGAGCGCUGCAAUGCGGCAGUCUGGUUCCAAGCCCAG